rnacentral:rRNA from 2 species
ACAUGUCUGUUUGGAGGUAUAAAAAGUCUGGCCUGCCCACUGAUUUUUUAAGGGCCGCGGUAAUCUGACCGUGCAAAGGUAGCAUAAUCGUUAGUUUUUUAAUUGGAAUCUUGUAUGAAUGGUUGAACAAGAGAAUAACUGUCUCUAUACUUUUUUGAAUUUAACUUUUAGGUGAAAAGGCUUAAAUACUUUAAAAAGACGAUAAGACCCUGUAAAGCUUGAUAAAUUUUGUUAUUCAAUUAAAUUAAUGUAUAAAAGUUUAGUAGCUAGAUUUAUUUUGUUGGGGCGACAAUGAUAAAAUGUUUUAACUGUUUAUGUUAGGGACAAAAUUAAAUGGUUAGUAAUAUAAAUGAUCCUUCUUAAAGAUUAAAAGUUUAAGUUACUUCAGGGAUAACAGCGUUAUUUUUCUUGAGAGUUCAUAUCGAAAGAAAAGUUUGCGACCUCGAUGUUGAAUUAAAAUGUCUAUAUAAUUGCAGAAGUUAAAUAGAAGGUCUGUUCGACCUUUAAAUUUUUACGUGAUC